rnacentral:misc_RNA from 1 species
GAUGAAGAACGUAGCGAAAUGCGAUAAGUAAUGUGAAUUGCAGAAUUCAGUGAAUCAUCGAAUCUUUGAACGCACAUUGCGCCCGCUAGUAUUCUGGCGGGCAUGCCUGUCCGAGCGUCAUUUCAACCCUCAAGCCCCCGGGCUUGGUGUUGGGGAUCGGCGAGCCUCCGCGCCCGCCGUCCCCUAAAUCUAGUGGCGGUCUCGCUGUAGCUUCCUCUGCGUAGUAGCACACCUCGCACUGGGAAACAGCGCGGCCACGCCGUUAAACCCCCAACUUCUGAACGUUUGACCUCGGAUCAGGUAGGAAUACCCGCUGAACCUAAGCAUAUCAAUAAGCGGAGGA